CAAUUGGAAAGGAAGAAAACAAGUCAUUCUCUCAGAUUAUGUAAUUGUCCACCUAAAACAAAGAAAUCUACGGGUCCAGGAGCUCCAAGUUUAUCUUGAGACCUUAAGAGGAGAGGAUCACCCAACUCACAGGCUCUACAUAACAAAAGUUCCCAAAGUCUACUCUGGAAACACUCAAAUAUCCUUCAGGAGUGGAAGAGGAAAAGAAAUUCCAUGGAC